GGAUAUUGAUCUAGAAGAGUUGAAGUAUCUAAACCUAGUGAUUAAAGAAACAUUAAGGUUGCACCCUCCUGUUCCUCUAUUAAUCCCUAGGGAAUGCAGAGAAGAAACAAAAAUUGACAAAUAUAUAAUAGCUAUCAAAACUAGAGUUAUAGUGAAUGUAUGGACAAUUGGAAGAGAGUCUAAAUGUUGGCAAAAUCCAGAGAGUUUUAUACCUGAGAGAUUUGAGAAUAAUUCUAUUGAUUUUAUAUAAUACCUAUCAAAACUAGAGUUCUGGUGAAUGUAUGGGCAAUUGGAAGAGAGUCUUCAUAUUGGCAUAAUCCUGAAAGUUUUAUACCUGAGAGAUUUGAGAAUAAUUCUAUUGAUUUCAGA
rnacentral:lncRNA from 1 species